rnacentral:rRNA from 1 species
AGCGAACGCUGGCGGCAGGCUUAACACAUGCAAGUCGAGCGGGCACUUUCGGGUGUCCGCGGCGGACGGGUGAGUAACGCGUGGGAACGUGCCCUCUGGUUCGGAAUAACUCAGGGAAACUUGAGCUAAUACCGGAUACGCCCUUUUGGGGAAAGGCUUGCUGCCGGAGGAUCGGCCCGCGUCUGAUUAGCUAGUUGGUGAGGUAACGGCUCACCAAGGCGACGAUCAGUAGCUGGUCUGAGAGGAUGAUCAGCCACACUGGGACUGAGACACGGUCCAGACUCCUACGGGAGGCAGCAGUGGGGAAUAUUGGACAAUGGGCGCAAGCCUGAUCCAGCCAUGCCGCGUGAGUGAUGAAGGCCUUAGGGUUGUAAAGCUCUUUUAUCCGGGACGAUAAUGACGGUACCGGAGGAAUAAGCCCCGGCUAACUUCGUG